AUCUGUGGAGACGCAGGGAGAGCCGGUUACCAUGCCGCGCCUGGCCACACAGUGGGUGCAUUUUCGGCCCGACUGAACUAACUUAGAAUCUUGGGAUUUGUUUACUAACAGAGUGGUGUGUGCUUUUCACCUUUGGAGGGAAGAACAUUAUAUGAGAAGAGAGAAAGGACUCUGAGAGCACUGGCCGCGGCUGCCCAAAAUGUACCAAAAUGAAAGGCGCAGGGAGAGGCCGGUAACUGCGAUCAGUCUUCUAGGUACUAACACAGAAGUUAAAAAACAAGGCUCUUUCCUUGUCCCAAGAAGGUACAGUACAGCGGGGAAAACGGGACACUGGGAAGGACAAGAACACAACCGUGGCCGCUGGACAGGGAACCUGCCUACCAGCGAGGGCUCCUGGGCGCCAGCCCCCGCCCUGCGCAGGCGCAGUAGCACUCAGCCGCAAGAGGACGGCCCUUUGCGCAACCCGGCUAUUGUGGGUACAGUUAAUAGCAUCAAAGAUGACCUGUUUAUAUCCUGAGCUCUGCACAGACUACUCUUCACUUUUUUCAAAAUAUAAUUCUAUUGCCUUCAUUAUAAAAAUAGUGCAUGGACAUAAAAUACAGGACAACAACGUUUAACUCUUUUCAUUGUAUAACACCGAGAUUACCACUACUAACAAGCCUUUCUAGAUUUCCUCCUUACACUUAUCAACUCAGAAAUGAUUAUUUUAAAAAUAAAAUGGGGCCGAGCUCUAUGAAAA